CAGAAAGUAGUCUAACUAAGAAUUUUAGCUUUGGGAGUUAAAGGUGGGAGUUAAAAUCUCUCCUUUCUGA
rnacentral:tRNA from 2 species